GACGAACGCUGGCGGCGUGCCUAAUACAUGCAAGUUGAGCGCUGAAGGUUGGUACUUGUCCCCACUGGAUGAGCAGCGAACGGGUGAGUAACGCGUGGGGAAUCUGCCUUUGAGCGGGGGACAACAUUUGGAAACGAAUGCUAAUACCGCAUAAAAACUUUAAACACAAGUUUUAAGUUUGAAAGAUGCAAUUGCAUCACUCAAAGAUGAUCCCGCGUUGUAUUAGCUAGUUGGUGAGGUAAAGGCUCACCAAGGCGAUGAUACAUAGCCGACCUGAGAGGGUGAUCGGCCACAUUGGGACUGAGACACGGCCCAAACUCCUACGGGAGGCAGCAGUAGGGAAUCUUCGGCAAUGGACGAAAGUCUGACCGAGCAACGCCGCGGGAGUGAAGAAGGGUGUCGGAUCGUAAAACUCUGUUGGUAGAGAAGAACGUUGGUGAGAGUGGAAAGCUCAUCAAGUGACGGUAACUACCCAGAAAGGGACGGCUAACUACGUG
rnacentral:rRNA from 1 species